rnacentral:sRNA from 1 species
AGCAGACGUGCAUGCGGCCCACCUGAUGGU